UUCCUCCGCACCUCGCCCCACGAGCCCCUCUCCCCUCCGCCGCCUCCUCUCCUUCACCUUUCUCUCGGCAUCGCCACCAAAGGAGGCACACAUGGGCGGUGGAUCCGUGCCAGAUAAGAGCGGCGGGGACUGUGCUCCGGUAGCAAUGGGGUGCAGCCGGUCGCGGGGAAGAUCGCGCCGCCGCCCUUUCCUUCCUCCAUCCCCGCCCCUGCCACGAACCCCUCCUCUUCCCCUUCCAUACCGGCCUCUGCCGCUCUCCUCGUUGGGCAUCACUCCAUGUUGCGGAGGACGGUUUGCAGCCUGUGCAGUUGAGGUGAGGAACCGGAGGUGGGGGGAAGGAGCAACAAUGGGGAAGAUGUUGUGUGCGUUGUGGGAAGCAGCUUGUUGAAAGCCCUGGCUGGCCAGGGGAUAUGAGCAGGAGGUGCUAAUCAUGCUGCAAGUUGUUGGCUGGGUCUCUUUCUCCCUAGGGAAGGGAUAGUAGACCUCGGGGAAAUCAAGGAUCUUGCGGUGGCUAUAGCGAUGCCCCUAUCAUCUCAUCCCUCUUUCUAUGUGCUUCUCUCCAUGGACAGCAUCGCCAUGGCCAGAUCGAUGGUUAAAGCCGUAGCAUUUUCCCUUGAUUAAGUUCAGAAGAUGGCACUCGUUGCCAGCGGGAUCUCGAGGAACAUGUGACCUCCAUGGUGUUCACUGCCAGACGGUGUGGCAAGGAGGGGUACCUUCUGCAGCGAUCUUUCUUGGGGAACCCUGGGAAACCGUCAUUCAGGUCUCCUACUAAAGCUCCUCCUCGCCACCAGGGGUGCACGCCAUGUCUUCCACCCUGACAUUGGCCACUUAUGGAGGUUGAUUGAUUUGGUUGGUUCGAUAGGAUCCCAACCUGAGGAGAAUGAUGGUUUGAAGAUGGCUAGCGGCCUGUGGGGCAUCGACCAGACUGGCAGCGACCCCAAUGGAGGGGAAGGGCUCGACAGGCGCUUCCAGGCAGGAGAGGCUUGGGGGCCUCGUGGAUUGGGAAGAUGGCGGCCACCCGGGUUUCUUCGAUCGAUCUGCGAUCUGGACAGGGCCACGGCAACGCGGGCGUCGGGCGUAGGCGAGCGACCCUCUGUAGCCACAUGUUGACAGUUACCUGUCAAGACUAUAAGAAGAAUUUUGAGGAAGAAUUUGAUCAAGAAGACCAAGGUGAAUUAUAUCUCUCUUGAACACAGUCACGCCUGUUUCUGCAUUUUUGGAUUUUUCUGUGUAGUAGAGCACAUGCCAUGAUUUUGUACUCCUCUUCCUUCCGCAACCUUGCCUGCCGAGCGCACUGAGCUGUUUUGCUGUACAAAGAGCCUCUCCCUUUCAAUGUGCCAUGGUGUCCCUCUCCAGGCUAGCUCCAAACUUCUGCCCCCAUCAUUCCCAUGGUGUCUAAGAAUAUCAUGGGGAAGAGGCUCUGGGAGAGGGGGUUUGGUUUUACUUUUCUGGUUUUGCAACAUGAUGCGACGAAUUUCUCUUGCACGUAUGGCUUUAUUCCUUCAUUUACCAUAUGCAAAUCUUAAUCUUCAAUUUGUUUGGUUUCCUAUGAGUGGAGAUUACUGUGAUGCUAUGUAAGCGUAAAGUGUAGAGUGAAUCAGAUAUGUGCUAGGUCCACUAAUUUAGCUCAUUACCUUGCUUCAUUGUUGUGUAGAUGCAAAACUUGUUUUCCCUUGUGCUGAAUUUGCCACUAUUUUUCAUUUCUUCUCAUUAUGAUCUAAUCAAAGUGACUCGACAUAUUUGAGUCUCUCGUGCAUGUCUGGUUUGGACUUGCCCUUAUUUUUUACCAAAUCACUAAACUAAACUGUAUAAAUAAAAUAGACCCCUUCCUUUCCAACACCUUAUAUAUUAUUAGAGUGAGCAAUAACAUGUUAUCAUAUUCGGUUUCUUGUGAGCAGCACUUCAGUUCAGAUUGUCAUAUACUCUUUGGUAUAUAGCAUUUUUUGCUUAUAUCUAUUGCCUAUUUCACAUAGAGAGAUGGUUUGCUUUGGAGAGGAAUUAGAUAAGGCCCAUGAGUCCUAAGUAAGUGUGAUAAGCAAGCCCUGCACUUCUAUUUACUAUUAAGCGUCAACUAAAUUUUUGAUAAUGGCAUUUCAGAGAUAAUACAAUCAAUCCAACUGUUAACUUUGGUGUGCUUUUUGGACGGACUAAUAUGAAGAUGCUGGCUAGCUCGCAUUGCCAUCAUAUAGUCUAGAAGCAAGGGCAAGGAUUAUAGGGAAAAUAAAGGUACAUUGAUCCCAAUAUAUUUUACCUUCUCGACGAAGUUUUGGUGCUUGCGCAAGAAAAUAACACCAUCAUUAUACCUACUGCUCAUUUUUUAUUCAGGCAAUUAGCCAUCAAUAGGAAAAGCCAACUAAUUGUACUUUAUCUAUUGCAGAGGUGAAAUUACUACUACUUUUCGAAAGUUUUUUUAUGCAUGUUCCCCUUUCUUAAUCUUCUAUUUUUUCAAAUGUACAUACCUGUGCUUAUAAUCAUUAUUACACUUGGUUCUACUGCAAGAGCAUACUUUAUCUUUCCAUUUCCAUCAAUCCAUCUUGAUGUGUGAUCGGGUUGUUGUGUGAUGCUGUUAGCUAUUGAUAUGGUGUCUGCUUAUGUCUAUUCAUAAGUACACCCUUUGCCUAUUGUUCGGUUGAGACGUAUAGCAAGCACAAGAAAAAUCUGCUAAUGAGUCCUUAGCUAGCUUUUGAUAUUUUAGUCCUCUGGCCUUGUUCACACAUAGCUCCAGAAUUAGGGAACUAGAAAUAACUGAUUCUUGUCCCCAAAAAACGGCUAGGUAAUUUUCAUAGACCUUCUGACCUUCAUUAUUAUAUGCUUUUGCAUUUGUUGCAUUCGUUCUUUCAGGUUGUUUUAUUAUUUUUUCAUGUUGGCUUUAGGAUGCCCAGUGUAUUUCAGCUCAUAUGUACAUGUAUUGUGUAUGGUUUAUUUGUCCUAUCUGCCGGUGUCUGAGCAUGACAAGCAGCAAAGAGGGAGGGGGGAUUUUUCAAGUACAAAGCAAAAU